AUUAUGAUGAAAACCAUGAGGAAGUGCCGUCUGAGUUUUUAUGUUGACGAAAAGCAAAAAUUCUGAAU